rnacentral:sRNA from 1 species
AGAAAUGAACUUCGUGAGCAAUUAAAAAAAGCAAACGAUAUUGACGAAAAAUUUGCAAUAAGCGCUAA